CAUUGUUUACUGAUUUUUUGCUACAAAUGUUGUUUGGUUUUAUACUGGAUAUAACUGAAUUGAAUGAAACUGGAAUAUUCUUCCUUACUGAAAUUAAGUAUUCAGAAGUCUUCUGUUUUUCAAUGGAAAAUAUUACAGUUGCCUGUGUUAUAAACCUUUCUCUGCCUGAGGGAAUUUAGUCUGUGCCCCUAUAGUGCCGGGGCACAGAGCUGUUACAUUCACUAUGAAUUAGUAAGCAACUCCUGCUACAGAGGUUGUAAGCUGGGAGUCCCACAUCUCAGUAACUGGUGCUGAAGGAGAGCCUUGUCAUUGGGAUCCUGGCUGCUGACAGAGCAGACCCUUCGCCACCAGAGGAAAACAACAAGCAGCAGCUCUUAAACCUGUCUUAACUCUUGUGUUCACCUUAUUUUCAGCAAAUCAAUGGUGUCUGUGCAUUAUCAUGGUGUGGAAGUGAUGUGGAAACUUCCAGCCCUCUCCUAGGGAGGCUUUGCCCCAGCUUUUUCUCCUAGAAAGACCUGUUGUCUGCUCUGCUGUCUCCUCCUUCACCCAAAUGAAGAGUCACGGAGUGCAUGAAAUGGUUACUGCCACCUUUGGGUAUAUUUCUCCUUGCUUCAUUGAUGCCAUUGGUCAGGAGAACAAACCUGCUCAUUUUCUAUCCAUAAACAUUUUUUGGCAACACGAAUACUCCUCUUUUUAUCUUACAGCCCUUUCUUUUCUGUCAUCAUAAAUCUUUUUUAGACUUAAAUGACAAAUGAGACAGGUACCUGUGCUACUAUUCAGUCAAGUGCCACUCUGGGUCGUGCCCUAAGUCCUCAGCUCUGACUAACAAUUACAUGAAAACUGGAUGUCUGAAGACAAUCAUAUCUGCAUUAAUAUUCUGUAUUUUCAAGCAAUCAUCAGAAAGCUGGAAGCAUGUUUAAUCUUUGAAUGGAAAAAUGCCUAUAGAUUUUGCCUUUUAUUAAGGGGAAUCUGUCUUUGCCAGUCAGUAACUGAGAAGCCAGCUGUAGCCAGAGGGCAGUGUCCCUUUGCCAGAACUUGAAGUCACUGAUAAGACUCUGCUGUGACCAGCACUGAAUUUGAGUGAGUCAGCCCUGAAGAUUACCAUAAGUCUUUAUGUAUUUUUUUCUAGUUUCAUUGCUCUUUGGCGUAUUGUCUUGUGUUAAGCAAAGUGAUUCAGAUGUUAGCAGGAGCUCUACCCCAACUCAGCUAGUGCUCUUUCUACGGAGGAUUUUCAUGGAGAGGGAGAAGUUUCUUGAAAUGCUUUGCAGUUGAAAGUUUGCUGUUGAAAUACUGCUAGGCUUUCGUUUUAAACUUAAAGUGCUCUUGUUGUGUUGUCUUUGUUAAAGGUCUGCAGAAGUAUUUACCAGUGAUUGUUGCCAUGAGACAAAUCAGAUACACUCAGCUCUCUGAACUACAGUUAACUGUUUAGGAUUGGAGAGUGACAGGAUCCUUGCUGGCAUCACUGGAUCUCUGAGCUUAUCUGUUUCAUGGUAAUUAAUACAACACUUUCCAUUUAGUUUCCUGUCAGUGCAGUUCCAUUGCCUCAGGCUUCAUUUGCCUUGCUGCUCUGUGUUGAAAGCAGUUGCAGCCCAGCCCACAGCUUUCUCCCUGGAUUUUUCUGAUCACUAUGAGUUUGUAGGAGAGGAAGGGGACUGCAGAAAAUUCAGUAUUCCUGAACUGGUGAAAAGAGGUUAAAUUCGUACCUGGGGAGGAACCCCAUUUGUCUCAUUUACCUUCUGUAUUUCCCAUAUUCUCAUUUUGCUUACAACCAGCAUUUUUUGAAGGAACAGGGGCUCGUUCCUUUCUUCCUGCAUUGCCCUUCCUAGUGCCCUUUUAAUCCUACCAAUUCUUUAUAGCAUAUGGCUGUGUCCCAGUGAUUUCUGUUCCUACCUAUUUUUGUACUCUUUACUUUGGUUCUAAAUCUUGGCCUUUCAAAAUUCCAUAUUGGUUUCUGCAAAGCAUUUAUAUUUUCAUCCAAAAAUCUCCCUCAAAUAUUUUCCACACCUACUAUUGUGUCUGUGGAGACCAUUAAAUGGUUC
rnacentral:lncRNA from 1 species